AAGUUGCCGCCUAUCUCAACUGUCGCUACAACCUAAAUGGAUGACUGAGGUGUUUUGUAAACGAUAGCAACCAGGAAUACCAGAGACUGGAGGUAGUUGGUCUUCAGAGGGAGUGAGCUGAACAGAUGAACUCUGAAUUACCUGCAGAGGAGCUCAGUGCUGGAUUGGAGGGUGCGUGGACCAUCAGCAGCUUCAAACUAAAGUGCUCUUCAUAAAAAAUGUGAACAUGGACAUUGGAUAUAUUCGCUGGAAUGAAGGUGAAUUUCUGUGGGAUGUUUCAGACAGGACACUCUACUUUUUAGAUCACCUGGGAGGAUAAGAAAGUUCUUCUGUUUUAUCUCUGCGGAGACCAGUGGAUCAGUGUUUGUCAGGUCUCAGGAAGUUGGAGGGAUGAGUGCCUGAGGAAAACAGAAUUAGACAGAGGGAGAGAAAGACAGAAAAGGCCGGCGAGUGAGGAAUGAAAGAAGAAAAGGGAAAUAAUACUCAGAUGAGACCGUGCAAAGCGGA